rnacentral:rRNA from 1 species
CCUACGGGAGGCAGCAGUGGGGAAUAUUGGACAAUGGGGGGAACCCUGAUGCAGCGACGCCGCGUGAGUGAAGAAGUAUUUCGGUACGUAAAGCUCUAUCAGCAGGGAAGAAGAUGACGGUACCUGACUAAGAAGCCCCGGCUAACUACGUGCCAGCAGCCGCGGUAAUACGUAGGGGGCAAGCGUUAUCCGGAUUUACUGGGUGGAAAGGGAGCGUAGACGGCAGGGCAAGUCUGGAGUGAAAGCCCGGGGCCCAACCCCGGGACUGCUUUGGAAACUGCCAAGCUGGAGUGCUGGAGAGGUAAGCGGAAAUCCUAGGGUAGCCGUGGAAUGCGGAGAUAUUAGGGGGAACACCAGUGGCGAAGGCGGCUUACUGGACAGGAACUGGCGUUGGGGCUCGAAAGCGUGGGGAGCAAACAGGAUUAGAUACCCGGGUAGUC